GACAGAGGCCUCAAGCGUUAGGCGGAAUCACUGGGCUUAAAGCGUGUGUAGGCGGGUCGUUAAGUACCUUGUGAAAUCCCACGGCUCACCCGUGGAACUGCUGGGUAUACUGGCGAUCUUGGGCCAUUCAGGGGCAACUGGAACAAGCGGUGGAGCGGUGAAAUGCGUAGAUAUCGGAAGGAACACCAGUGGCGAAAGCGGCUUCCUGGUCCGACACCGACGUUCAGGCACGAAAGCGUGGGGAGCAAACAGG
rnacentral:rRNA from 1 species